rnacentral:rRNA from 1 species
GAUGAACGCUGGCGGCGUGCCUAAUACAUGCAAGUCGAACGAACAGACGAGGCUCUUGCUCCUCUGACGUUAGCGGCGGACGGGAGAAUCACACGUGGAUCACCUCCCUAUAAGUCUGAGAUCACCUCGAGACACGGGAGCUAAUCCCGGAUAAUAUAUUGCACCGCAUGGUUCAUUGGUAAAAGACGGUUUUGGUGUCUCUUAUAGCUGGAUCCCCGCCGCAUUAGCUGGUUGGUAAGUUCACGGCUUACCACGGCAACGAUGCGUAGCCGACCUGCGAGGGCGGUCGGCCACACUGGAAGGGAGACACGGUCCAGAGUCCUACGGGAGGCAGCAGUAGGGAAUCUGGCGCAAUGGGCGGAAGCCUUACGGAGCAGCGCCGAGUGAGGGAGGAAGGUCUUCGGAUCGGAAAACUCGGUUAUCAGGGAAGAACAAAUUUGUAAGUAACUAGGCACGUCUUGACGGUAACUGAGCAGAAAGCCACGGCUAACUACGGG